rnacentral:rRNA from 1 species
AUUGAACGCUGGCGGCAUGCUUUACACAUGCAAGUCGAACGGCAGCACGGACUUCGGUCUGGUGGCGAGUGGCGAACGGGUGAGUAAUACAUCGGAACGUACCCAGUAAUGGGGGAUAACUAUCCGAAAGGAUAGCUAAUACCGCAUACGCCCUACGGGGGAAAGAGGGGGAUCGCAAGACCUCUUGUUAUUGGAGCGGCCGAUGGCGUAUUAGCUAGUUGGUAGGGUAAAGGCCUACCAAGGCAACGAUCAGUAGCGGGUCUUAGAGGACGAGCCGCCACACUGGAACUGAGACACGGUCCAGACUCCAACGGGAGGCAGCAGUGGGGAAUCUUGGACAAUGGGCGCAAGCCUGAUCCAGCAAUGCCGGGUGCGUGAAGAAGGCCUUCGGGUUGUAAAGCGCUUUUGUCAGGGAGCAAAUCCUUGUGGCUAAUACCCACCGGGGAUGAGAGUACCUGAAGAAUAAGGACCGGCUAACUACGUGCCAGCCGCCGCCGUAAAAC